rnacentral:rRNA from 1 species
GAUGAACGCUGGCGGCGUGCCUAAUACAUGCAAGUCGAGCGAACAGACGAGGAUCUUGCUCCUCUGACUUUAGCGGCGGACGUUUUAGUUACACGUGGAUAACCUACCUUUAAGACUGUGAUAACUUCGGGAAACCGUAUCUAAUACCGGAUAAUAUAUUGAACCGCAUGGUUCAAUAGUUAAAUACGGUUUUGCUGUCACUUAUAGAUGUAUCCUCGCCGAAUUAGCUAGUUGUUAAGUUAACGGCUUACCAAGGCAACGAUGCGUAGCCGACAUGAGAGGGUGAUCGUGCAAACUGGAACUGGAAGACGGUCCAGACUCCUACAGGAGGAAGCAGUAGGGAAUCUUGCGCAAUGGGCGAAAGCUUGACGGAGCAACGCCGCGUGAGUGAUGAAGGUCUUCGGAUCGUAAAACACUGUUAUUAGGGAAGAACAAAUGUGUAAGUAAAUAUGCACGUAUUGACGGUACCUAAUCAGAAAGCAACGGCUAACUACGUG